GCUGGGCAUGGUGGCACAUGCCUGUAGUCCCAGCUACUUGGGAGGCUGAGGUGGGAGGAUCGCUUGAGCCCAGGAGUUCUGGGCUGUAGUGUACUAUGCCGAUUGGGUGUCCUUACUAAGUUUGGCAUCAAUAUGGUGACCUACUGGGAGCGAAGGACCACCAGGUUGCCUAAGGAGGGGCGAAGUGGCCCAGUCCAGAAGCAGAGCAGGUCAAAACUCCCGUACUAAUCAGUAGUGGGAUCGCGCCUAUGAAUAGCCACUGCACUCCAGCCUGGGCAACAUAGCGAGACCCUGUCUCU
ensembl:misc_RNA Metazoa_SRP Metazoan signal recognition particle RNA